ensembl:lncRNA
GUAACAACUGAGUUUAACAUCCAGGCAUCCAUGAAAAUGGAAUUUAUGACAUUUAACAUUUAGAAGUUAGCAGGAAGUUAGCUCGCUAGCUUCCAUCUAAAUACAAUAUAGCAUAUCCCGACUGAGGGAUUUUGGAAAUAAUUCAAACGUACAGCUCUGCUAUCACUUCCGACAUAAAUGAAGCCAGAAAACUAAACAGCAGUGACGUUUGUAGGGUAUAUAACUGGUAUAUAGCUGGUAUAUGACGAUGUGCUACGUGAUCACUAGCGACACAGCUAUGUGAGCAUAAUACAAACACACUAACUUUUUUUCACUCGAUAAAAGUUAACGUGAGGAUUCUCGGUGGUCAGGAACAAAUGUAAUCACAUGGCAGGAUGCUGUAAACGGACCAAACUUCAGCCAGGAGAACAACUGAGAUAAUCCAUCCACAAUACGAGCCUUCUAUUUGGGAGAUUUCCCCCGACAUUUCUUGGUCCUUCGAAGCCGGAUGAGACAGCCUAUUUAAAGCAGCUCUCACAGAAGGCGCCUCACCAGGUCCCGUCGGUGCGAGAAGCCCAUGUUGAAGUCUGCCGGCAGCUCACGCACUAGGUGUGUGGUAAAACCCAAGAGCGUGAAUUCGGGUCUUGGUCAACGUUUUACAAGUGGUCCGCACCGUUGGGGGCUGAUCAGGUGCAUCUGAAGAAACCAGCGCCAAGUAUCUUGCAGGUUGAAGCCAGGUGAUUGGGUCCUGAUUCGAGUUCUCCAGAGAAAGAAUUGGAGCUCGCCCCGCUGGGAAGGCCCAUACCAAGUGCUUAUCGCCACACCAACUGCCUGUAAGAUAGCAGAGAGACCAUCUUGGAUUCACCAAAGCCACUGCAAGAAAGUGAGUGACGGCCUAGACUCAGACUCCAGCACCCCUACCUUCUGGUGAUCUACCUGGUGAAGGGAGGGCUGAUUGGGUAUAUCCCGCCCUCUACUUCUCGCCAGUAGUCUACUCACCCAAGGAUCUAGGUGUGUUUGGCUGUCAUGAAGACACUCGCCGUCCUAGCAGCUGUCCUCCUGCUCCUAGCAGGACUCCUCGCACUUUUCGAGGACAAUAAAGAACAGAACACAAGCCAAACGUGCCGCCAGCUUCGCGGGCAUUGGCUAUCAACAUAAGAAAAUCAUCAUUGAUGAGACAAGCUCUAUCAUCUAUUCGCUUAACCUUCUUAGUAUCUUUCAGGGACCACCCCGA